GUUGGUUAAAGUCCUUCCUUUACUA
rnacentral:tRNA from 1 species